AUGCACAGUGAACACCCAGGGAUGCUAGCGUGGCUCUCCCUGGUCUCCUGUAUCUGUGCCAGAGUGACCCUGAUCUGUACCUCUGCAUUAGGAGAGCCUUCUCCUCCCCUACAUGUAUUCAUCAGAUCAGAACAAUC